GAAUCUUGCGCAAUGGGCGAAAGCCUGACGCAGCGACGCCGCGUGUGGGAUGACGGCCUUCGGGUUGUAAACCACUGUCGGGAGGGACGCAGUUCUGACGGUCCCUCCAAAGGACGCACCGGCUAACUCUGUGCCAGCAGCCGCGGUAAUACAGAGGGUGCGAGCGUUGUCCGGAAUCACUGGGCGUAAAGGGCGCGUAGGCGGGCUGAUAAGUCGGGGGUGAAAUCCUGUGGCUCAACCGCAGGGCUGCCUCCGAGACUGUCGGGCUCGAGCACAGUAGAGGCAGGUGGAAUUCCCGGUGUAGCGGUGGAAUGCGUAGAGAUCGGGAAGAACAUCGGUGGCGAAGGCGGCCUGCUGGGCUGUUGCUGACGCUGAGGCGCGACAGCGUGGGGAGCAAACAGG
rnacentral:rRNA from 1 species